CGAGCACCUUCCGGACACUCUUCGUACCGCGAUUCGCGUCUUUUCCACGUGAAAACUAUUUAUUAACGUGAGUUUUCCGCUGAUAUUUCCUUCACAUUCUCCUGAAAGUUAUCCGCGCUGUUCUUGUGCUGUUUGUGAGAACGUUUCUGUUUAUGCUUCUGUGAAUAUUCCUGAAGAAAUCUUCGGCAAUUCGCUGAGUGCACGGAAAGUGGAUAUUAAAGACAAAACCGUAAACGAUUUGACGUUAGUUCUGCAGAUGCGCCCCUUGGUUCACCGAAAUACGCUAUAAAA